CAGGCCUAACACAUGCAAGUCGAGCGGACCAUUCCUUCGGGGAUGGUUAGCGGCGGACGGGUGAGUAACACGUAGGCAACCUGCCUGUAAGAUCGGGAUAACUACCGGAAACGGUAGCUAAGACCGGAUAGCUGGUUUCUCCGCAUGGGGGAAUCAUGAAACACGGGGCAACCUGUGGCUUACGGAUGGGCCUGCGGCGCAUUAGCUAGUUGGUGGGGUAAUGGCCCACCAAGGCGACGAUGCGUAGCCGACCUGAGAGGGUGAUCGGCCACACUGGGACUGAGACACGGCCCAGACUCCUACGGGAGGCAGCAGUAGGGAAUCUUCCGCAAUGGGCGCAAGCCUGACGGAGCAACGCCGCGUGAGUGAUGAAGGUUUUCGGAUCGUAAAGCUCUGUUGCCAAGGAAGAACGCCUCGGAGAGUAACUGCUCUGAGGGUGACGGUACUUGAGAAGAAAGCCCCGGCUAACUACGUGCCAGCAGCCGCGGUAAUACGUAGGGGGCAAGCGUUGUCCGGAAUUAUUGGGCGUAAAGCGCGCGCAGGCGGUCUUUUAAGUUUGGUGUUUAAGCCCGGGGCUCAACCCCGGUUCGCACUGAAAACUGGGAGACUUGAGUGCAGGAGAGGAAAGCGGAAUUCCACGUGUAGCGGUGAAAUGCGUAGAGAUGUGGGGGAACACCAGUGGCGAAGGCGGCUUUCUGGACUGUAACUGACGCUGAGGCGCGAAAGCGUGGGGAGCAAACAGGAUUAGAU
rnacentral:rRNA from 1 species